rnacentral:rRNA from 1 species
UGAGUACGAGCUGCUACGGCAGCGAAGUGGGUGAUGUCAAGCUUCCAAGAAAAGCCCUAUACCCGUUAAGGCAUGAUGGCCUGUACCCGAAACCGACACAGGUGGGGUGGUAGAGAAUACCGAGGGGCGCGAGAUAACUCUCUCUAAGGAACUCGGCAAAAUGGCCCCGUAACUUCGGGAGAAGGGGUGCCACCGCAAGGUGGUCGCAGUGAAGAGGCCCAGGCGACUGUUUACCAAAAACACAGGUCUCCGCUAAGUCGCAAGACGAUGUAUGGGGGCUGACGCCUGCCCAGUGCCGGAAGGUUAAGGAAGCUGGUCAGCGUAAGCGAAGCUAGCGACUGAAGCCCCGGUGAACGGCGGCCGUAACUAUAACGGUCCUAAGGUAGCGAAAUUCCUUGUCGGGUAAGUUCCGACCCGCACGAAAGGCGUAACGAUCUGGGCGCUGUCUCGGAGAGAGGCUCGGCGAAAUAGAAUUGUCUGUGAAGAUGCGGACUACGUGCACCCGGACAGAAAGACCCUAUGAAGCUUUACUGUAGCUUGGUAUUGUGCCCGGGCUCUGAAUGCGCAGGAUAGGUGGGAGGCUUUGAUCCAUUGCUUGUGGGUGAUGGUGAGCCAACGGUGAGAUACCACUCUUUCAGAGCUAGGGUUCUAACGGUCACCCGUCAUCCGGGGACCGGACAGUAUCAGGUGGGCAGUUUGACUGGGGCGGUCGCCUCCUAAAAGGUAACGGAGGCGCGCAAAGGUUUGCUCAGGCUGGUUGGAAAUCAGCCGACGCGUGUAAAAGCAGAAGCAAGCUUGACUGUGAGACCUACAAGUCGAACAGGGACGAAAGUCGGCUUUAGUGAUCCGACGGUUCUGAGUGGAAGGGCCGUCGCUCAACGGAUAAAAGUUACUCUAGGAUAACAGGCUGAUCUCCCCCAAGAGUUCACAUCGACGGGGAGGUUUGGCACCUCGAUGUCGGCUCAUCGCAACCUGGGGCUGAAGUCGGUCCCAAGGGUUGGGCUGUUCGCCCAUUAAAGCGGUACGCGAGCUGGGUUCAGAACGUCGUGAGACAGUUCGGUCCAUAUCCGGUGCAUGCGCAGGAAUAUUGAGAGGAUUUCUCCCUAGUACGAGAGGACCGGGAGGAACGCACCUCUGGUGUGCCAGUUAUCGUGCCAACGGUAAACGCUGGGUAGCCAUGUGCGGAGAGGAUAACCGCUGAAAGCAUCUAAGUGGGAAGCCCACCUCAAGAUGAGUAUUCCCAUGGCGUUAGCCAGUAAGGUCACGGGCAGAACACCCGUUGAUAGGCUCUACGUGGAAGCCGGGUAACCGGUGAAGCGGAGGAGUACUAAUAGACCGAGGGCUUGACC